rfam:Hordeum vulgare subsp. vulgare, WGS project CAJW01000000 data, contig: morex_contig_2184850
UAUACUACUCAUAUCAAUAAGGAAUUACUUCUUUUCCGGGAUCCCAUUCGAACAGAACUCCCAGGUUAAGCAUGCUUAGCUUGGAGUAGUUCUAGGAUGGGUGACCGACCAGGAAAUUGAUCCUGGGUGCGC